ensembl:snoRNA SNORD17 small nucleolar RNA, C/D box 17
GUGAAAUGAUGAUUCAGUUUAUCCAUUCGCUGAGUGCGCUGCACCAACCUUCUUCCAAACCUCAGUUCCUGUUCUAGGAGCGCGGGGCUGCGUGGCCUCCAGGCUCCCUGCAGCCUGCAGUGUUCUGCUGCCGGCUGCUGGGGGGUCUGGGCUACUGGGAGAAUGGCUGGUGGUGGCAGGGGUGAGGCCCCCUCGGGGCCCAUCUCACCGAGAUGAGUGGUAAGAUCUGAUCAC